GAAAGCCGUUCUCAGUUCGGAUCGGAGUCUGNAACCCGACUCCGUGAAGCUGGAUUCGCUAGUAAUCGCGCAUCAGCCAUGGCGCGGUGAAUACGUUCCCGGGGCCUUGUACACACCGCCCGUCAAGCCAUGGAAGCCGGGGGCGCUUGAAGUGCGUUGCCGCAAGGCGCGCCCUAGAGCGAAACCGGUGACUGGGGCUAAGUCGUAACAAGGUAUC
rnacentral:rRNA from 1 species